rfam:Felis catus isolate Cinnamon breed Abyssinian chromosome B1, whole genome shotgun sequence.
GCCUGGGUGGCUCAGUCGGUUAAGAGUCUGACUUCGGCUCAGGUCACGAUCUCGCGGUCGGUGGGUUCGAGCCCCACAUCGGGCU